rnacentral:rRNA from 1 species
GAUGAACGCUGGCGGCGUGCCUAAUACAUGCAAGUCGAGCGAACAGAUGAGGAGCUUGCUCCUCUGACGUUAGCGGCGGACGGGUGAGUAACACGUGGAUAACCUACCUAUAAGACUGGGAUAACUUCGGGAAACCGGAGCUAAUACCGGAUAAUAUAUUGAACCGCAUGGUUCAAUAGUGAAAGACGGUUUUGCUGUCACUUAUAGAUGGAUCCGCGCCGCAUUAGCUAGUUGGUAAGGUAACGGCUUACCAAGGCAACGAUGCGUAGCCGACCUGAGAGGGUGAUCGGCCACCCUGGAACUGCGACACGGUCCAGACUCCUACGGGAGGCAGCAGUAGGGAAUCUUCCGCAAUGGGCGAAAGCCUGCCGGAGCAACGCCGCGUGAGUGAUGAAGGUCUUCGGAUCUUAAAACUCUGUUAUUAGGGAAGAACAAAUGUGUAAGUAACUAUGCACGUCUUGACGGUACCUAAUCAGAAAGCCACGGCUAACUACGUG